rnacentral:rRNA from 1 species
AUUGAACGCUGGCGGCAGGCUUAACACAUGCAAGUCGAGCGGAGAUGAGGUGCUUGCACUUUAUCUUAGCGGCGGACGGGUGAGUAAUGCUUAGGAAUCUGCCUAUUAGUGGGGGACAACAUUCCGGAAGGAAUGCUAAUACCGCAUACGUCCUACGGGAGAAAGCAGGGGAUCUUCGGACCUUGCGCUAAUAGAUGAGCCUAAGUCGGAUUAGCUAGUUGGUGGGGUAAAGGCCUACCAAGGCGACGAUCUGUAGCGGGUCUGAGAGGAUGGUCCGCCACACUGGGACUGAGACACGGCCCAGACUCCUACGGGAGGCAGCAGUGGGAAUAUUGGACAAUGGGGGAAACCCUGAUCCAGCCAUGCCGCGUGUGUGAAGAAGGCCUUAUGGUUGUAAAGCACUUUAAGCGGGGAGGAGGCUACUGAGACUAAUACUCUUGGAUAGUGGACGUUACUCGCAGAAUAAGCACCGGCUAACUCUGUGCCAGCCGCCGCCGUAACAC